rnacentral:rRNA from 1 species
UACGUAGGCAGCGAGCGUUGUUCGGAGUUACUGGGCGUAAAGGGUGUGUAGGCGGUUGUUUAAGUUUGGUGUGAAAUCUCCCGGCUCAACUGGGAGGGUGCGCCGAAUACUGAAUGACUUGGAGUGCGGGAGAGGAGAGUGGAAUUCCAGGUGUAGCGGUGAAAUGCGUAGAUAUCUGGAGGAACACCGGUGGCGAAGGCGGCGUUCUGGACUGUAACUGACACUGAUGAACGAAAGCCAGGGGAGCAAACGGG